UACAGAGGGUGCAAGCGUUAAUCGGAAUUACUGGGCGUAAAGCGUGCGUAGACGGUUAUUUAAGUCGGAUGUGAAAGCCCCGGGCUCAACCUGGGAAUUGCAUUCGAGACUGAAUAGCUAGGGUGCGGUAGAGGGAAGCGGAAUUUCUGGUGUAGCAGUGAAAUGCGUAGAUAUCAGAAGGAACAUCAGUGGCGAAGGCGGCUUCCUGGACCAAUACUGACGAUCAGGUGCGAAAGCGUGGGGAGCAAACAGG
rnacentral:rRNA from 1 species